GAUGAAGAACGUAGCGAAAUGCGAUAAGUAAUGUGAAUUGCAGAAUUCAGUGAAUCAUCGAAUCUUUGAACGCACAUUGCGCCCGCCAGUAUUCUGGCGGGCAUACCUGUUCGAGCGUCAUUUCAACCAUCAAGCCCCCGGCUUGUGUUGGGGACCUGCGGCUGCCGCAGGCCCUGAAAACCAGUGGCGGGCUCGCUAGUCACUCCGAGCGUAGUAAUACAUCUCGCUCAGGGCGUGCUGCGGGUUCCGGCCGUUAAAAAGCCUUAUUUACCCAAGGUUGACCUCGGAUCAGGUAGGAAGACCCGCUGAACUUAAGCAUAUCAAUAAGCGAAGGA
rnacentral:misc_RNA from 1 species